rnacentral:tRNA from 1 species
GGGCCAGUGGCGCAACGGAUAACGCGCCUGACUACGGAUUAGGAGAUUCCAGGUUCAAAUCCUGGCUGACUCG